CCUACGGGAGGCAGCAGUGGGGAAUUUUGGACAAUGGGCGAAAGCCUGAUCCAGCCAUUCCGCGUGCAGGAUGAAGGCCCUCGGGUUGUAAACUGCUUUUGUACAGAACGAAAAGGUUUCUAUUAAUACUAGGAGCUCAUGACGGUACUGUAAGAAUAAGCACCGGCUAACUACGUGCCAGCAGCCGCGGUAAUACGUAGGGUGCAAGCGUUAAUCGGAAUUACUGGGCGUAAAGCGUGCGCAGGCGGUUAUAUAAGUCAGAUGUGAAAUCCCCGGGCUCAACCUGGGAACUGCAUUUGAGACUGUAUAGCUAGAGUACGGUAGAGGGGGAUGGAAUUCCGCGUGUAGCAGUGAAAUGCGUAGAUAUGCGGAGGAACACCGAUGGCGAAGGCAAUCCCCUGGACCUGUACUGACGCUCAUGCACGAAAGCGUGGGGAGCAAACAGGAUUAGAUACCCUGGUAGUCCACGCCCUAAACGAUGUCAACUGGUUGUUGGGUCUUAACUGACUCAGUAACGAAGCUAACGCGNGAGUAGACGCGNGGAGUACGCGCGAGUAGACGACAANAGAGUAGAGCGUGAGAGNGCGACGACGACGACGAGGGAGGAGG
rnacentral:rRNA from 1 species